AAUGAACGCUGGCGGCGCGCCUAAUACAUGCAAGUCGAGCGAGAAGACGUAGCAAUACGUUUGUAAAGCGGCGAACGGGUGAGGAAUACAUGGGUAACCUACCCUAGAGUGGGGAAUAACUAGCCGAAAGGUUAGCUAAUACCGCGUACGCUCCUUGGACUUCGGUUCAGGGAGGAAAGCGAUGCCGAGGGUAUCGCGCUCUUGGAUGGGCUCAUGUCCUAUCAGCUUGUUGGGAGGUAACGGCUCACCAAGGCUUCGACGGGUAGCUGGUCUGAGAGGACGAUCAGCCACACUGGCACUGCGACACGGGCCAGACUCCUACGGGAGGCAGCAGUAAGGAAUAUUGCGCAAUGGGCGAAAGCCUGACGCAGCGACGCCGCGUGGGGGAUGAAGGUCUUCGGAUUGUAAACCCCUUUCGGGAGGGAAGAUGGAAUGGGGUAACUCAUUCGGACGGUACCUCCAGAAGCAGCCACGGCUAACUUCGUGCCAGCCGCCGCCGUAA
rnacentral:rRNA from 1 species